CACGCCCCCGCGCCGUUCCUCCUCCCGCAGCCGGGCGCGGCCCGCAGGUCGCCGAGCCGCCGUCCCGGAGCCGCCCUUCGCCGCAGCCUCGCUGCACGCUGAGUCCUCCGAGGAGAUGGAAGCUGCUGUUCAACGAGGAGGGUUGCCUAGACGCAGCUGGAAUGAUUAUGAGAGUACAGCGUGGGGACGUUGUCUUCAUUUUGGUUAUGCGAACAGGGUGUCCACCCAAAUAUCAAAGGGGAAGUGUGGGAGUUUUUGUUGGGUUGUUACGAUCCUAAAAGCACUACUGAACAGAGGAACCAGUUGUGGCAACAGAGAAGGCCUCCGAUGUUAGGAAAGAGAGGAGAUGGUCUUCGUCAGUUGCACUGAAGCAUGGGAAGGAUGCAGGUGAAGCGGUGGAGAAGGACACCGACGUUGCCAAGGUUGUUAUAGCAGCGACACUAUUGAACGCUCAAGGGAAGAGUAGACGCGCCUGGGUGGCUGGGUGACUCUGACCACUGAUUUCCUCCAUGAGCCACUGUAGCACCUUUAUGUUGUGACACUCCUACAUAUUCAUGUUAAUCACAUGAUUGUAAAGGAAUAUGCAAAGCUGAUGAGACUAGAGCUAAAGUUCUUUCUCUUGGAUUCGUCAGUUAGGUACAUCAUUCCUUCAACUAUCCACAUUUUAAACUGUAUACUAUUGUCGUAAAUCAAGUGGAAUAUGUGUAUGCAAACUGUCAAACUAAAACUUGGAAACAAACAUCAUUGAUUACUAAUCGAUGAUGUAACUUUUGAAGGAAGUAACAAAUGGAAUGAUUUGUUGCCCAUGUACAUUUGGUAAAUUUCUUUGAUAGUUUUUGUUGUUUAUGUAUAGAAAAAAAAUCAUUGGUAGAGAGGAAUCUUUCUGAAAAUGUUUUCUCGGUAAUGAAAUGGGGAGAAAAUGUUUCUCAAAAUGUUCAUUUCAAUUUUUUG